ensembl:lncRNA
CAGAGGGCGCCGAACCUGGUUUGGGUUUUGCUAAUUAGCUCACCUGUCGCAGCUCGCGCGCUAUGGGCACGCUAAUUAGUUAAUUUGUUGCGUCUGGUUGGGUUCUGCUCACAUGGAACCGGACAGCACGUUGUUGUCCACCACUGUUUGGCAGCGUUAUGUCUCCCAGACAAGGUUACAAAGACUUUUUGAAGUAAAACGGAGCAUUUCAUAUGGAGCUGAUUUCUAUCCUGGAGAUGAAACUCCAGUUCUGUGAGUAUCCCAAUUGAAUCAUGAAGAAGAAACUGCGAACUGUAAGUCAUUGGUUUCCUUAUUAUUAUUGGGCACUGCAAUGUAUUUUGGGUUAACCUGUUUAGUGAACAUUGCUUUGAGUAGUGUGGAUGUUUUAUUGGUGCAUGAGCUACUUAAGCAUUUGAGUUGGUACUAAUGGUUUCAAGUACAGGUUAGAAGUGUUGUAAAGCGUAAUAGAGAAUUCUGUGGGUACAACCAAAACAUACUUCAGGGUUGGUUGCUGAUUUCUUUAGUCUUCUUUCCUGCUACUCUCCUGAGCUCUUCAUCUUCAUCACAUGAGUGUCGCUUUACCGAUAAGGGCGUAUCUGAGUGAGCAGAGGUGCAUGAUGGGAUACAGGUCUGUCUGAAGUCUACUGGUCUGUAGACACGACCACUCAGGAGAAACCAAGGGUUUGAGAAUCCGUUUUGAUGUGCGUUUCAUGGACUAGAAUAUCCUUUAAGAUGGGGACAGGGAUUCCCAAAGGAGAAACACUUUGGGGAGAUGUGAGUGCUCCUCAUCUCAACGACUGGAACACUACUUCGUUCUUGCACCAGAGAACCAUAGAGCUCAUUUCAACAUUCUCCUCCAUGUAUUGUGAAGCCUCAGCGACUCUUUCUCUACCUCCACAGCUGUCAGAGCACAACUCCAGUUCAGAAAUGGUCACAGUUGGGGGCCAUUCCAAGAUGGUUUCUCAUUUCACCAGAGCCAUCUUCCAGGUCCAGCUGGCCUUCCAUCUUGAGGGUUGGAGUGUACAAAACACUGUACACAGAAAGCUUCUAUUUGGUCCAGUCCAGUCAGCCUACUGAGGAUGGAGAUAUUCUACAAGAGUGUUUGACAUUGUAUUGCUCUGUGGCAUCCGGGUUUGACAUGAGAUGGAAAUGGUUCAUUUGUCAGCAUGACAAGGGUUCGCUCUGGUAUUGGAGUUCUGCAUAAGUGUGUGACCUGGGUUCUACAUGUGUCCUGGGUUCGCUCUGGUGUUGGCGUUCUCCUGGGUUUGCUCUGGUAUUGGAGUUCUACGUUUGUCCUUGAUUCGAUCUGGUAUUGGAGUUCUACGUUUGUCCUUGAUUCGAUCUGGUAUUGGAGUUCAACGUUUGUGUCCUUGGUUCGAUCUGGUAUUGGAGUUCAACGUGCGUGUCCUUGGUUCGAUCUGGUAUUGGAGUUCAACGUGCGUGUCCUUGGUUCGAUCUGGUAUUGGAGUUCAACGUGCGUGUCCUUGGUUCGAUCUGGUAUUGGAGUUCUACGUGCGUGUCCUUGGUUCGAUCUGGUAUUGGAGUUCUACAUGCGUGUCCUUGGUUCGAUCUGGUAUUGGAGUUCAACGUGCGUGUCCUUGGUUCGAUCUGGUAUUGGAGUUCAACGUGCGUGUCCGUGGUUCGAUCUGGUAUUGGAGUUCAACGUGCGUGUCCUUGGUUCGAUCUGGUAUUGGAGUUCAACGUGCGUGUCCUUGGUUCGAUCUGGUAUUGGAGUUCAACGCGUGUGUCCAGGGUACGACCUGGCAUGGGAUUCUACAUGUGUCCUGGGUUCAACCUGGUGUCCGUCCAUCUGAGUGACAUGGGGUAUUGGAACCGUCAACCUAAUCGAAAUGGAUGGAUGAGCACCUGGUUUGCUUAAGGACUUGGCCGACGUGAAGAGCCUGGAACGAUGCUCCGCAAUGAUAUCCCAACACACUGGACAGGAAGACGGGAGUUGGAUUGGAAUCAAGUGUAAAGAAAGGAUGCGAAAGGCUGGUUUGGAUCACUGACUACAAAUUAGAACUACACCAAUAAGGAACAAUGGAGGAAAUAUACCAAAUGGAUUCCACAAGAAGAGUCUGAAGUUGGAAAUCGACCUAAAUGGAUAUUCCAGAUGACCUUCAGAGCUGUAGUGAGGUGCCUCUUCCUACCUGCUGGAUGGCCGGCAAGCCCUGUGGACCGUGUCUUGUGUCGUAUUGCUUUCAGAUGCACAUCUUCUCUGACUGAAAUAUAUUUUGUUUCCUGGCUAGGUGAACCUGGGAGAUGGGUUGUGUGAAUCUGAAACGAUCUUUGAACUAUCCUAACUCGGGUCUGCCUCAAGCUGUAGUUGUGCUCUUCAGCUGAGGAUGUUUGGAAACCUUCAGUGGGGCUUCAAGAUGUAUAGAGGGGAACGUUGCAGUGGGUUCCAUGGUUCUCUGAUGGAGAACCUUAGUUGUAUUCUACUGGCUGAGAGGAAAAACACACGCAUCUUUCUCUUGGCGUUUCUUCCUUUUAGAAUCCCUGUCGCCAUCUUGAAGGAUAUUCCACUUUAUGUAACUGAUGUCCUUGCGGCUUCGCAAACUUUGGUUUCUCCAGUGGGGCGUGUCUACAGAAUUGUAUACUUCAGACGGCAUUGUAUCCUAGAAUGAAUCUCUGCUUACUCAAACCACACCUCCAUUAGUAGGGCAACACUAUAGCGAUGGAGGUGCAUAGUCUUUGAGUAACUGGGGAGCAGAUAACGGGGAUUAGAAAACAAUGUCAUGUUAAGUCUGUAGAUCUUAAAAUCAUGAUUGUUAAAUGGGAGUUCAGGAGUUGAUUUAAUUAUGUGCAGUCCCUUAUCUCAAAUGCACACGUCUCACUUAACCUCAGAUUUCUUCGAAAUGAUUCGCAAUUGUUGAUGCGGUUAGUUCAGGGUAUCGUUUGCAGGGUUGUGGAUGGCUCUCUGAGCUAGACAUUUUGGUUGUAUCUGUAGGGUUUGUACCCAGAAUUAUCAAGAUAAGAUAAGAUGUUGUAUGGUCAAAUGUAGUCAGUUUUGCAUUAACGGAUUUCCUCGUUUUUAAGCAAGCCUUUGAGGGUUAAAUGUGUUGUGGGACAUACAAGGUAGUUCUGUGUGCUUCGUAUUGUUUUUAGUGUUAUAACUUGUACACACUGGGUGCUUAGCAAUUUAGAGGUAACACUGAAUAGUAGUUAUAACCAACAGCAACAAACAGAUCGCCUUAAGGUAAGUCUGUUGGCUGCAUUUAUGUGAGAAGAUCAUCGCUGGACUUCAGGAUCGUCCUCCGCUCAGCUCAAGGUGAGGCGCUGGUUACGUUCCUUACUGCUGGGUUGGUUCCGGCUGGAAUGUUCGGAUUCCAGUCGGACGGGUUUCCUUCCCGCCGGGAAGGUUCUGAGUGUAGUCCGUUAAUUUAGUUUCAAAAUGGUUGGCAUUGAACAUUGUAGUAUUGAAAACCUUAAGAACACACUUGGCGGUUAGUUGGAUUGAUUUAAGUCACCUGAAAGGGCAUCUGGCAGUAUGUUAAGGAUUGACGUUUGCAUUACCUCGUCACCAUUGGAAAAAAACAAUUCAAUUUCUGACCAAUCUUAAGAGACUUUAGAUUUCCCGUUCAAAAUACAUACUGGCGUCUAUGUUUUUCAUUUCUCAAAUUCUACCAAUUUUUUUCAAUAAUUGCGCUCCACGUUGACGGACUCUCGCUGCGUACAAAUCUGCGUCGUACUUGCGGGCGCAUUUCUAACCGUCAAUGAAGAUUUCAUCACUUUUAGGCACUUUAUGGCAUGGCUUCCAUAUAACCCAGCACCUUAAUAUGGUUAAGUAUAAUUUUACUAUUGAAUUUUUAAUAUUGAUACUGCUUAGUGUUCUUUGAUACUUUAACAGCUUUGGUACAUUCUAAAUAUCUGGUCCAUUAAUUGUCACAGAAGUUAAACCCUACCAAAUCGCAUGACGUUAGAUUAUUACCCUUUUGUGAUGGGUUAUGAACUGGAUAGUAUCCAACCGCUAAAAUAAUGGCUGUGUCCCACAUGUUGCAGUAGGAGAACUUUAUAACCGUACACGGUAAAUGGUAACGUGUAGUUUGUCUCACGGUGUCUGCCUCCUCCCCAGAGCCGUACCUUCACCCUGUCGGAGUCCUCCACAGAAGGUCAGAGCUCCGCUGCAGGAGGGUCAUGUAUGUUCAGAGGCUGUCUGAUUAGUUCAGGGGCCUCUGGAUGCGGCAACGGGGUAGACGGUGGCGGACUGGACCCCCCGGAGGCCGACCGGACCCCGGAGGCCGACCGGACCCCCGGAGGCCGACCGGACCCCCCGACUGGAGGCCGACCGGACCCCGCCGACUGGAGGCCGACCGGACCCGCCGACUGGAGACCGGACCCCCCACGGAGGCCGACUGGAGCCCCCGGACUGGACCCCCGGAGGCCGACUGGACCCUCGGAGGCCGACUGGACCCCCGGAGGCGUGGACCAGAGGCUGAGGCUGGAAGGACCAGGAUGGACCAGGAACCAAAGCUGGAGACCAGAGAAAUGCCACACGGGAUCGGACCAGAGGGAACCUCAGAUGCAGAAGGUGUGGAGUGUGGCAGCUACACCUGGGAUUCCUGGCUGACGGAGGAGUCGUGCUGGAGGAGGUCCUGCCUGGUGGAGGCGGUCCAUCGUGGGGCAGAUGGAGCCUGACUCUAACGCCAGGACUCUGUGGUGUGGAGGAGCUGGGACUCCUGAGGACAGCCAGAACUCCACCAACAAGGAUUCCUCGACAUGAGCUGGACCAGAGGACAGCUGGUGGGGAGCCGUAGAUCUGGAGGAAGACCAUGACUCUACCAGCAAGUAUUCCAUACCAGGACUCCGUGGCUGAGGAGCUGUGUGUGGUCCGACCGGACCCCCCGGAGGCGGACUGGAGCCCCCCCCGGAGGCGGACUGGAGCCCCCCCCGGAGGCCGACUGGAGCCCCCCCCGGAGGCCGACUGGAGCCCCGGAGGCCGACUGGACCCCCGGAGGCGUGGACCAGAGGCUGAGGCUGGAAGGAUCAGGUUGGACCAGGAACCGAAGCUGGAGACCAGAGAAAUGCCACACGGGAUCGGACCAGAGGGAACCUCAGAUGCAGAAGGUGUGGAGUGUGGCAGCUACACCUGGGAUUCCUGGCUGACGGAGUCGUCGUGCUGGAGGAGGUCCUGCCUGGUGGAGGCGGUCCAUCGUGGGGCAGAUGGAGCCUGACUCUAGCGUGAUUAUCACUUUCAACACUACCAUAAACUACCACAGUUUGUUACUAGACUACAUCUGUUUUACUGCCAUUUGCUGCAGGCCAGUACUCUGUGGCGUGGAGGAGCUGGGACUCCUGAGGACAGCCAGAACUCCACCAACAAGGAUUCCUCGACAUGAGCUGGACCAGAGGACAGCUGGUGGGGAGCCGUAGAUCUGGAGGAAGACCAUGACUCUACCAGCAAGUAUUCCAUACCAGGACUCCGUGGCUGAGGAGCUUUAUGUGGUCCGACCGGACCCCCCUCGGAGGCGGACUGGACCCCCCGAGGCGGACUGGACCCCCGGAGGCGGACUGGACCCCCGGAGGCGUGGACCAGAGGCUGAGGCUGGAAGGACCAGGUUGGACCAGGAACCGAAGCUGGAGACCAGAGAAAAAUGCCACGGGAUCGGACCAGAGGGAACCUCAGAUGCAGAAGGUGUGGAGUGUGGCAGCUACACCUGGGAUUCCUGGCUGACGGAGGAGUUGUGCUGGAGGAGGUCCUGCCUGGUGGAGGCGGUCCAUCGUGGGGCAGAUGGAGCCUGACUCUAACGCCAGGACUCUGUGGCGUGGAGGAGCUGGGACUCCUGAGGACAGCCAGGACUCCACCAACAAGGACUCCACCAACAAGGAUUCCUCGACAUGAGCUGGACCAGAGGACAGCUGGUGGGGAGCCGUAGAUCUGGAGGAAGACCAUGACUCUACCAGCAAGUAUUCCAUACCAGGACUCCGUGGCUGAGGAGCUGUGAGUCUGGAGGAAGACCAGGACUGUCUACAGGUAGUCCUAGUCAGUUUGCAUAAAGUCAAUGUAGAACUUGUACAGGACAAACGCUUCAUUGCAAGUUAAGAAAUGCUAAUGUGAUUGGUUACUAGACAAACUAAAGCUGCUACUUUGUUUCAUGCCAUUAGAGCCAAAACUGUUUGUUACCAGGCCAGUCAAACUAUCACUGUUACUUUGUACAAGACUUUAGAGCCAAACUACUACUGUGUUUGGUUAACUUACAUUAGUGCCCAACUAGGUCUGUAACCAGACCGGGAAUCUGGACAACUGAUGGAGAAGCCAUACCUCUGACCAGGACUCCGUGGCAGAAGAGAGCUGAUGGAGGAGCUCUGACUCCGGAGAUCGACCAUGACUCUACUAGCAAGUAGUCCUUGACGCUGGUGAAAUCCGGUUUGGUCCAGGACCCACACCUGAUCUGAACCCAACCUGAUCCUGUUUGUUCCUCUCCCCUCAUCCUCAAGAAGAACUUCUGAGCUUCAGCAGUCUGAGGCUGAUGGAUCAAUUAACUCCAGUCUGAAUAACCUUGACCCCACAUGUACCCGUGUACUUCCACACUCCUUUCCCUCAUGUCUGUCACUAACUAACCUCACUACUUCACUGUCCUCUCUACUCCCUUCCGUUCCUCUUGCUUCUCCAUGGUUCGAACCAGCACUCUGAAGGAGUGUCUUCUUGCCCUCAGAGGGUUCAGUGUUAGGGUUGAGAGUCAGGGUUUAGAGUCAGGGACAGAGCUGGUUAGGGAGGAAGGGUUUUUGCACAUGCCUCUUCACUUGCUUGCUGAAUUGUUUUGACAUUUUGAAAUGAUUCAUUGGGAAAAUAUUUUACUGUGCUAUUACUGACAAAUAAAUAUUGUUGUACCAAAUGUCUUUUAUAAAUGUAAAUCCUACAUUGUGACUUAAGAUAUUUGAUUCUGUAAUUUGCCUUGGCUAUUGUCAAGCUAAACAUUUUAAUACAUUGCAUAUAUUUCAUGCAUAUUAUUCACAUAAUAGUUAAUAUAUGAUACAACUUCCAUAUAAACUACACAAUUCCAGUAUUCAUUUAGGUACCGACCGACCCACACAGGCCAUUAAUCUACCACCGUAACCAUUCCAGUAUCAAACCAAUACAGGAUAACUAGGACAUUGGAGAACGAGGUUUCACAAGAACAGCACCAAUAAUGUGUCAUGGCGACCUCAUUUUGGGCAAAAUCAUUUCUACAGGCCUGCGUCCACGUUACCUGACAGAAGGUUCUGUCUGAAGGGUUAAAAAGAUGGCUGACAUUCUAAGUUGAAAAUCC